rnacentral:rRNA from 1 species
UACGGAGGAUCCGAGCGUUAUCCGGAUUUACUGGGUUUAAAGGGUGCGUAGGCGGGUCGUUAAGUCGGCGGUGAAAUGCGGGGGCUCAACCUUCGAGCUGCCGCCGAAACUGGCGAUCUUGAAUUCGGUCGAGGCCGGCGGAAUGCGUGGUGUAGCGGUGAAAUGCUUAGAUAUCACGCGGAACGCCGAUUGCGAAGGCAGCUGGCCGGGCCGAGAUUGACGCUGAGGCACGAAAGCGUGGGGAUCAAACAGGAUUAGAUACCCCCGUAGUCC